GGUGGCUCAGUGGUAGAGCGCUUGCCUUGAAUGCACAAGGCCCUGGGUUCAAUUCCUCAGCACCA
rnacentral:tRNA from 1 species